GGGCGAUGAUUAUAAAGAGAGAGGAUUGAGUGGGGAGUAUGAACAAAACUCUCAUGGGAUUGGAGAAAAAAUAAACCCUAAUCGAAAUUGAUGGAGAAAAUUAGUUUUUAAUUUUUUUUCCCUUUUUCGAUUGUUAGGUUUAUUUCUUUCUCUAUCUCUUACCCUCGAUGACGGUCCUUCCAAUGUACACUUGAUAUGAGCCCU